GAGUGCAGUGGGGUUUACAAUUAACUGAUCACGGCCAGUUACAGAUCGCUCUGUUCCUUCUCCACCCCCGCUGCUUCGCUU
rnacentral:sRNA from 1 species